AACCACUGAGUGGAGUAUUUAGUACACAGGAAGUCGGCCAGAGAAACAUUUCUCAUAUUUGAAGGCCGGGAAGAGGGACAUUUCUGACACCGGAAGUCAGUGAGAGGGCUCUUUCCCACACAGGAAGUCAGCUACAGAGCCCUCUCCCCUCUCUAGAGCUGAGAGACGCCGGUUUCCCCCGCCGACAACGUCCAGAGGUGUCCAGAAAGAAGGUGACCUUGACCAGAAUUCCUCAGCCUUGACUGCACAUGAGAACCAGUGAGGGAGCCCUAAAAACGCUGAUGCCCAGGCUCCACCCAGACCUAUAGGUGCAGAACCUCUAAGGGAGGGGCCCAGCCAUCGUGCUUUGAAAAAGCUCCUCAGGUCUCACAUGCGUGCUUCACAAUGGGGAAACUGAACUGGAACUCCACUGACAAUGCAGUUUGGAGUUCAAACUUAAUAACCUUCCAGAGUUGGUAUCAAAUUCAGACGCUGACGCUCCUUGGAGAGGUUCUUUGCUGCAAGAGGAUGGAAAGGAUCACUCGAUCACUCUGAUUUUGUUUUUCUCCUGCUGCUCUGUCUGGAAGCCAUGGGAGGAGGACAUCUGAGCAGCCCUGUGGAGAGGCCCCCAGCCAACAGCCAGAUGAACUUGCUGGGCAUGUGAGUACACCACCUUGAAAGUGGAGCCUCAACCCCCGGUCAAGCCAUCAGGGAGAGCUCAGGCUGGCCUGUUGGAAGAUGACAGGCCAUAUGCAACAGACGUGAAGUGUCCCAGCUGAUCCAGAACACCCGCCUUCCAGAUGACCACAGAUGCAAGAGUGAGCCGGCCAAUAUCUGCAGAGACAUUCCCAGAAAGACAGAACAUCCAGCCGACCCAUGGACUCAUGGGCGAUCAUGGAUAAAUGGAUAUUAUUCCAAGCUGCUAGGUUUGGGGUUGGUUUGUUAUGCAGCAAUAGCUAACAGCUACACCUCUAUUUUAAGGAGUUGUGAAGAUAAAUUGCAAAGGUACAGAAAAAUGAAUAGCUAUAA
rnacentral:lncRNA from 1 species